GACGAACGCUGGCGGCGUGCUUAACACAUGCAAGUCGAACGGAAAGGCCCUGCUUUUGUGGGGUGCUCGAGUGGCGAACGGGUGAGUAACACGUGAGUAACCUGCCCUUGACUUUGGGAUAACUUCAGGAAACUGGGGCUAAUACCGGAUAGGGGCUCCUGCUGCAUGGGGGGGGUUGGAAAGUUUCGGCGGUUGGGGAUGGACGCGCGGCUUAUCAGCUUGUUGGUGGGGGAGUGGCUUACCAAGGCUUUGACGGGUAGCCGGCCUGAGAGGGUGACCGGCCACAUGGGGACUGAGAUACGGCCCAGACUCCUACGGGAGGCAGCAGUGGGGAAUAUUGCACAAUGGGCGGAAGCCUGAUGCAGCAACGCCGCGUGCGGGAUGACGGCCUUCGGGUUGUAAACCGCUUUCGCCUGUGACGAAGCGUGAGUGACGGUAAUGGGUAAAGAAGCACCGGCUAACUACGUG
rnacentral:rRNA from 1 species